GACGAACGCUGGCGGCGUGCUUAACACAUGCAAGUCGAACGGAAAGGCCCUGCUUUUGUGGGGUGCUCGAGUGGCGAACGGGUGAGUAACACGUGAGUAACCUGCCCUUGACUUUGGGAUAACUUCAGGAAACUGGGGCUAAUACCGGAUAGGAGCUCCUGCUGCAUGGUGGGGGUGGGAAAGUUUCGGCGGUUGGGGAUGGACUCGCGGCUUAUCAGCUUGUUGGUGGGGUAGUGGCUUACCAAGGCUUUGACGGGUAGCCGGCCUGAGAGGGUGACCGGCCACAUUGGGACUGAAAUACAGCCCAAACUCCUACGGGAGGCAGCAGUGGGGAAUAUUGCACAAUGGGCGGAAGCCUGAUGCAGCAACGCCGCGUGCGGGAUGACGGCCUUCGGGUUGUAAACCGCGUUCGCCUGUGACGAAGCGUGCGUGACGGUAAUGGGUAAAGAAGCACCGGCUAACUACGUG
rnacentral:rRNA from 1 species